CCUACGGGUGGCAGCAGUGAGGAAUAUUGGUCAAUGGGCGCGAGCCUGAACCAGCCAAGUAGCGUGAAGGAUGACUGCCCUACGGGUUGUAAACUUCUUUUAUAAAGGAAUAAAGUGAGGCACGUGUGCCUUUUUGUAUGUACUUUAUGAAUAAGGAUCGGCUAACUCCGUGCCAGCAACCGCGGUAAUAAGGGGGAUCCGAGCGUUAUCCGGAUUUGUUUGGUUUAAAGGGAGCGUAGAUGGGUUGUUAAAUCAGUUGUGAAAGUUUCCGGCUCAACCGUAAAAUUGCAAUUGAUACUGGCAGCCUUGAGUACAGUUGAGGUAGGCGGAAUUCGUGGUGUAGCGGUGAAAUGCUUAGAUAUCACGAAGAACUCCGAUUGCGAAGGCAGCUUACUAAACUGCCACUGACAUUGAUGCUCGAAAGUGUGGGUAUCAAACAGGAUUAGAUACCCGAGUAGUC
rnacentral:rRNA from 1 species